CCCUUAGAUGUUCUGGGCCGCACGCGCGCUACACUGAUGCAUUCAACGAGCCUAUCCUUGACCGACAGGUCCGGGUAAUCUUUGAAUCUGCAUCGUGACGGGGAUAGAUUAUUGCAAUUAUUAAUCUUCAACGAGGAAUGCCUAGUAGGCGCAAGUCAUCAGCUUGCGUCGAUUACGUCCCUGCCCUUUGUACACACCGCCCGUCGCUCCUACCGAUUGGGUGUGCUGGUGAAAUGUUCGGAUCGGCCGUUUGUCGCGGUUUCCGCGGCUCGUGGCUGAGAAGUUCAUUAAACCCUCCCACUUAGAGGAAGGAGAAGUCGUAACA
rnacentral:rRNA from 1 species